rnacentral:lncRNA from 1 species
AGAAAGAUGGCGAGGCAUACAGUCACAAGCAGCGCUGGGCAGAAGACCUCAUUUUUUUUUUUAAUUUACUUAUUUUAUGUAUGCGUGUACACUGUAGCUGUCUUCGGAGGGCAUCAGAUCUCGGUACAGAUGGUUGUGAGCCACCAUGUGGUUGCUGGGAUUUGAACUCAGGACCUCAGGAAGAGCAGUCUAGUGCUCUUAACCGCUGAGCCAUCUCACCAACCCCAGAAGACCCUAUUUUUGUGUUAAGCUACCAUCGCUUUCACUGGCUUCUUUUAUUUCUCAGGAAACAGGACGGGGAGGGCCUGAGGGGAAUUAGAACUUCCUUUCCAAGGGAGAGGUUUUGGGAUUAAGAGGAGAUAGGAUUUGGAGAAGUCCAGGCUUCCAACCCUUGUCUCGUCAUUUGACUUACUGUUGGGCUUCAGGUUGUCUCCCUUUCCUAGCUCCAACUCCUCCUCACUUUCCCGUCUCACCUCUUCCCUCUCCCCUCUUCCUUCUCUCAGUGUUUUGGUGUUUGCUUGCUUGCUUGUUUGUUUGACAUAGGGUCUGACUAUAUAGAUCAGGUUGACCUUGAACCCACAGAAAUCUGACUGACUCAGUCUCCCAAGUUCUGGGAUUGAGAGUGUGCCACCACACACAACCUUUUGCUUUUUUGCUUCUUUUUCUGCCCACCACCUUUCUGGUGUUUUACUAUGUAGCCCAGGUUAGCCCAGAAUCCACAAUCUUCCUGCUUCGGCCU